AUUUUCAACCUCCAUGUCUAUUUCAGGCUGUUCUAGACUGAGGAGUUGGUCUCCUCUAUUUGAUGCAAGCUGUGUGUUUUCCUUUUUCCCAUGCUGUGUCAAUCUAGUUUCUUAUGUUGCAAGUGUGUGAGGAGUUGUAUUUCAAAGAAAAGCCAUCAUGGGUGAAUAAGAUUCAAUUUAUGCUGGGAUUGAUCCUAGCCUAUUCUGGAUGCUGAACAUUUUCCCCGUUGUAAGGUGUUUAAAAAAGUGUCAUAAUGGAAACACAUAGGAAACAGAGUAGAAGGCAGAGAGGAAGUCAGGCAGAUAAUGUAUGCAUAUGGUCUUGUCAUAGAAGUCACAUCUGUGGUGCAGUUUAGUGGAAGAUAACUCAUAGACAACUUCUGUUUUUUAAGACACAGGAUAUGGCCUGGCCUAGGGCCAUACUGCUUUGUCCAAAUCCUCUUACUCCACUAUGCAAGAAUCACAGCCAUAAAUCAGCGUCAGAACAAAGACAGAUGAACAGAUAAGCUCUGGGAGGAAAUAUAUUAAUAAAAUCCAAGUGUCUCAGACAUUUUUAUGAGUGGGCUCCCUUGGCUGUCGGUGAAACUACUGAAGAUCACAUAGGUCCUGAAGGGAGUGAGCAAGUACGGCAAAGCUUCGGACAACUGAUGAAGUUACUGCCUCCAGUUGUCUGCUGCGCAGAGGAUGAGGCCUUUAUGGAUUAACUCUAUUACUCUGAGUACAUUAAAGUUCAGAGCAAGGACUUUAUAGCAGCCAGCAAGUGGCGAAGCACCAUCUGGAUUGGAGUGGCACAGCAUGGAAAGCUAACAUACAUACUGCACCAGAAACAAAGCAGAUUUAUCCUUAUGUUCACUGGAAGGCAGCUGAUCAGCUUCCAACAGACCGCAACAGUUCCAAACACAAUUGAAUAAAAUACAUAUAUUUGUUGCCAAAGAUGGAGUUACAGUAUUGUUAACAUGGGUCAGGAAAUGUCUGGUCUCUCAAUCCCUGCUGAAAUAAAAAGGCACUUAAUCCUGGAAUAUGUUUGUUAGCUCC